UACGUAGGUGGCAAGCGUUGUCCGGAUUUAUUGGGUUUAAAGGGUGCGUAGGCGGCCCUGUAAGUCAGUGCUGAAAUAUCCCAGGCUUAACUGGGAGGGUGGCAUUGAUACUGCGGGGCUAGAGUACAGAUGAGGUAGGCGGAAUUGACGGUGUAGCGGUGAAAUGCUUAGAUAUCGUCAAGAACACCAGUGGCGAAGGCGGCUCACUGGCCCGGUACUGACGCUGAGGUGACGAAAGCGUGGGGAGCAAACAGG
rnacentral:rRNA from 1 species